GUUUCCUUUUUUUCAAAAAAUACAUUAAUGUAACUAAAAGUACUAAUUCAUUACAUUUUUUUGUACCGUAAUAUUGUGGGUUUCUUUUGAUGGUCAUGACCAUCUAUAGAAAGGUCAGAAAAAGAAAAAUUUCACUCUCUACUUUUCUUUUCUAUCCAUUAUUAUUGUUGUUGCACUUUUGAUUAUUACUAAAAAAAUAGGAAUAAGGGAGAUGAAAUAUCUCCUCUGGGGGUCGGUCCACGAGGAUGCUAGUGGGCACCCUGUAGGUGGUGAAAAAGUAUCUGUUAAGCUGAGUUCUGGCAUCUUCGUAUCCUUUCCCUGCAACAGACGUCCUCAUUUUGCUUUCUCAAGAAUAAGCCAGUUCUUUGCAAACCUUUCCUCAGGGCCGAUGCUUUUACGUUUCAUCUGCCCUGGCCUUUGUUACUGAGUUCAGUCUCCUGCUCAAGUCCCCCACAGGGCCGGGCCAGCACGGGCUCUGUGCUAGCAGCUUUCUGUUUGUGAUGUCCCAGCCAAGGAGCUCCAGUCAGCUGCCUGGGCCGCAUUCUCAGCCCACCUCCUUCUUACUGUGUGGUCUUAAAGCAGGUCACUUCACCUCUCAGUAUCUCUCUCUGUAAAACCCGGAUAAUAAUACUUCCCAAAUAAAGACAGGGUUUUCUUUAAGCCCUUUGAGCUCCUCAGAAGGAGUGCACCACAGAAAUGCCCAUGCUGCACUGGGACGGGCGCUGCCGCCAUGUGAUCAGGUAAUGUGAGAUGCGGCUCAUUCUGCUUUGUCUGGAAUGAAUGCGAGCCCUGCCACAAAGCACUGGGAACUCUCGAUGACAUUGAAACCCCGCGAUCUGAGUACCCAUCUGGAGACUUCAUUAGGAUCGUAAGACAUCUGGGGACCAGCAAUGGAAGAAACUCGCUUAUGUUGAGUGCCUAUUAUAUGCUUGCAUUGUGCUAAGCUCUUUCCCAUAUGUCAUCUCAUAUAAUCCGCCACGAAAACCCUGCCAGAGUGGAAUUAUUAUUUCCAUUUUACAAAUGAGAAAACAGAAACUCAGAGAGGCAGAGUUACUUGCCCAAGGUCACAUAGAUGGGAAGUGGUGGUUCCUGAAUUUUAAUCAAGAUGGUGGCAUCACAAGGGGUGGUUUGGAAAGCUUUCCAUGCAGCCAUCGUCUCCAGCAGCCCCCUGCCCUCCAACCCCCUCCCCUCCAAAUAAAUACACAAUCUAAGUCAGGGGACAAAAUGAAGCUUCAGUAUAUGUUCCCUUACCACCUCGGUUUCAAUGAGAUUGCUGUCUACACAGACAUCCUGCAGUCCACACUAAACCAAAAUUUGUCUGGCUCCGAAGACCAUGUUCUUCCCAACACAAUCAGGAUGCUUGCUCUCUUAGCCUCCUACCAAGAAGACCUUUGUUUUCUUAAAAACUUUACCCAGAAGAGCCAAUCAGUCAGUGUAGGAUUCCCCUAAUGGAGCCUGGCACCAUAGGUUCCAAAAUGUCACCAGCCUGCCCGAAGUCACCAGCCCAUUAAAUGCCCUGCACUUCCCAGGGUACACUGAUGCAUUGCAUCCUGGUGGGUAAGCAUCAUUGGCAUGAAGAAGCAUGGGGCUAACGGUGUGGAUUAGAGUUUCAGUUUACUUUGAAACAUCCAUUGGCCAAGGUCCAGUUCAUUUUGGGUUCCAACUAAUUUUUUUCAGCCUCUAAAUGUAGAGACCAGGAGCGUUUAGCAUGGCUGUCCGGACACAGGCUAUUCCCCGAGUGCUACUGUACCCUCCACCCUGGAAGUGAGAAACAGACUGCAGGUUGAGGUCAGCCAGGGUCUCAUAUUCCAGACGGGAAUUAGUUUUCAGAGACUAAAUGUUCACCAGUGAACAUCGUGUCAUGGGCCAGCUGGAAAAGAUAAAAACAAGCUAAGAUUCCAGGAAUCCAGAAUUGUAAAUAGGUAUAAGCACCUUCUAUCUCUUCCCUCCUUCCCUCAGAAGGUUAUACCUAAUACUACUAAUAAUUUACAUUAACAGAUCUCCUUAUAAUUGCAAAGCAUUUCACACACAGGACUCUGGAGAAGAAUUGGAGACCUCAGAAUGUUAAGGACUUUACCCAAAGUCACGGGGCUGUUGAAAACCGUGACCACGAAAGCCUUCCACAACCCGCUGUAAUCGGCACUUGCAUAAUGGGGCUGGGGACAGCGUUUGGGGGAACCAGGGGGGGCGGCUGUGUUUUUCCAACACUUGUGAGAUUCAUUUUGGUGAAGCAAGAAAGUCUGACCGAGUCCUCUCAGACUUGGAGAGAGGAAGGCGUUUCCCGGGAGGGGGGCCAACUCAUAAACCUGCCCUUUCUCCUUCGCCUUGUGCUGCUCACGGCCCUUUCCUCUCUGCCUAAGGGGGAGUUUUGACAUCUGUAGAUUCCUCUUUCUUUGCUUUGCGAGAUGGCCUGUAUUUAUCCAACUUAGCAAUAAGGUUAAACACACAGACCCUGGAGUCGGAUCCCGGUGGCACCACUUACUGGCUUUGUGACCUUGGGCACGUUAUCGAACCUGACUCGACUUCCCCAUUGUAAAAUGUGGGACAAGCAUAGUACUUACCUCAUAGGGUUGUUAUAAGGGUUAGAUGAGCUCAUACACAGAAAGCCUUUAAAACAGUGCCCAGCGCCAUACUUGCUAUUGCUACUGUCUGCUACGCUUCUCUUUCUGGGUCUCCACUUUGCACAAUUAUUUGUCAACAUCUGAGAUUGUCAAAUUCUCAGUGGCCAGUCAGGCUGAUUCCCCUGCGUUGUGUGUGUACUGGGCCUGUCUCCCUUUCUGGAACUGAGCAACACCUCCCCAGUCUGUCCACUACAGAGGUCAAUGUAGUACCUUAGCUGCUCCUGGUAGAGAGGCCUUAGGCAGAGACAGAGAACCGAGACCCUCGCAGCCACGUGCGUUUGCGAUUGCUCGCAGGAGUGGGUGCCGUCACUUGUCGUUUAGUGCAGGCCCAGAUUAUGGCUCCCUUCAGCCAUCCUGUCGUCUCCUGCCUGGGUGAAAGGUCAGUGUGCUGAGCACCCUCGAGCAGGAAGUGACUUGGUUUCCCAUGGGAGACCCAGAGCUCGCCGGCUUCCCCAGCCUCCUAGCCACCGGGUGCCAGCACUGCUGCCGAAUCAAUCCAGGGAGCUCACUGCCCAGCAAAGCACAACAAACCCUGCAGGCCUGGGUGGCCUGUCCCUUUUGAAAAUAACCAAACCUGCAUGCGUGUUUGGCCAGGUGAUUCAAAUGACGUUAGGCAGCCAAAGCAACUGAAAUGUGUCAAAAGUGACUCAGUCAACACAGCCGGCUGGUGUUAAGCUAUAAAACAUGGGGCCAGGUUAUGUGCCAGGAGCAUUUCAUUUCAUUCAAGCAGAGUAGGUGGGAAGGACCUCCGGCACAUGCCCCCCGGGGCGCCCUGGCGGCAGGCAGUGGCGGCAGCCGGCCUCUCGCGGGUCCCAGCUGUGCCAGAGCUGACCUUCUUCCACGGAGUGGCCGCCCCUCCUCUGGGCACUCCAGCUCUGCACUGUGACUCACUCUGCACCGUCUGGCACACUGCUUCUCCAGUAGCGCGAGGGGACAAGAGAGAGGCUUGAGGAGACACGGAUGCCGCAGACACAGUGUGCCAUCUCUCAGGACCUGUGUGCCUGGGACACACAUGCUGGCCCUGAGGCCACGUGGUGCCCCACUCCUAGACCUAACAGCACUCUCUUGAGUAAUGCUUCACGCUGUCAGUCCAUUUGCCCUCUGGACUCUGGGAAUUGUGUGAGGAGCAUGAGUGGUCAACAAGGCUCCUGGCCUGCAGGGGACCUCCUCAUUAAGAAGUCCAUUUUGAUGAUGCUGUUAAUGCUAGCUGUAAUGAUAUGAAAAGCAGCAGUAAUGGUAGCCACCACUGCGGAGGUCCUGCGGAGUACCAGCUGUCGUGCUGUCCUGUUCUAACAGCACAAUCGUCUCUUCUCAGCAUCCCCGUGAUGCAAGGCCUGCCGUUUAUCUCCACUUCGCAGUUGAGGUAACUGAGGCUCAGCUAAGCUAAGCGCCUUGUCAGAGGUACAAAGUAAGUAAGUGGCUGAGCUGUGAUUCAACCCCAGGCCUGUCCGAUGCCAGAGAGCGUCCUUUCUCCACUACGACAGGAGGCCUCCUCUCCUCUCAUGGUGCUCAAGGUUCUGGGGAGAACCAGACAGAUUUCUGGGAGAGUUGCAAGAAGGUGACUGUUCCAGUUCCGUAAUGGGAGAAUCAGCUCCGUCACGGGGACAGGUGUCAUGACUCAGAUGUCAGAACUAAGGGUUUCCUACAACUUUGACAUGAGGGUGCUUCUCCGCUCCUGCUUGCUGCCCUCCUUGGAGAAGAACAAUCUUUUCUCCCCCAUAGCCACUAUUUUUCAAACAUCACUUUUAAUUUGGGGCACCCUCUCUGUGGGAGAUUGCAAAAAUUAAAUCGUUUUUAAGCAACCAAACAACACUUCUGGGGUUUGUAAUAGACUUGUGAAAUUUGCGGAACUUGGCGGUUGAGGUUCUCUCAGUCCUGCUUCCCGGGGCCCUGAGGAGCUUUAGGCUGGCUCUUCCUUCUCUCUGGUUUAGAGCUUGUCUUGCCAACUGGGGCCCAGCCAUUGCAUCUUGAGCUAAGGAGGCUAGGACUUUAUAAACAAUCAAUCAGGAGCUCCGGGAGGCAGCCCCCGAUCUGGGCUUCUGGCCCUGCCCCUCCGUCAUUGCAGGAAAGUCACACAGGCCUUAGGUGGGUGGCUGGUCCUUGUUUGAGGCCAGCCUUGUUCAUUUCCACAGGGCUUGGCUGCUGAGGAGGGCACAAACGGUAGCCAACUUCCGCUUGUAAUGGUUCGCUCUCUGACCUUCCAUCCAGUGACUCCAGGGCCCCCUGGAGGGUAGGACCACACUCCAACUUAUGGCGCUCUAUUUCCUCUCCUCUGUGAAGUCCCCUCCACUCAUGGAAAACAGCAGCAAGACGAUUUCCUUGCAUCAGCUGUCCCUGGGCUUGUCUUGUCAUGGUCUAAGCUGAGCACGAGGGGUGGUUGUGUUUCUGGCUCCUCCAAACUCUUAGCUGGACACUCAGCUUCACAAGCCAGGACUCAGAUGGCGUCAAGGCCAGAAGGAUGAGCAGAACUGUCUAGUUCACCCUGCCCCGCUUACCUCUUCAUAGUAAAGAACCUGGAAUCUGGGUCAGAAGGUUGGAUGCUAACCCUGUCUCUAUCCUGCACCAGCCGUAGAUAUGUUCUGUACCUUUUCCUCACCUGUGUAGCAAAGCAUGUAAUAGUAUCUACCUCAUAGAACUGAAGACACGUGAAGUGCUAAGAACCAUGCCUAGCAGACAGUACAUGUACAUUAUAGCAAUCACAUUAUUAUAGACGAGAAACUGUGUCAUACUCAGGGAGACUAACAGACCCCAAGAAUCCCACAGACCGUCACAGAAUAAUAGCCCCGGAAGAUAUCCACAUCCUGAUUCCAGAACCUGGGAAGGUGUUAAAUUACAUGGUGAAGGGGAAUGAAGGUUGCAGAAGGAAUUAAGGCUGCUAAUCAGCUGACGUUAAGAUAGGGAGGUCAUCCUGGAGUUUCCAAGUGGAUUCAGUGUAAUCACACGGGUCCUUAAAUGUGGAAGGAGGCAGAAGGAGGAGAGUCAGAGAAGAUGUGACUCCAGAAGAAAGGCACCGAGAGAGCAACCUUGGUGGAGUAAGGAGACCAUGAGCCAAGGACCAUAGGUGACCUCUAAAAGCUGAAAGAGCAAGGACACGCAUUCUCCCUAGAGCUUUCAGAAGGAACCCAGCCCUGCCGCCCCUCAAUUUUAGCCCAGGAAGACCUGUAUCAGACUUCUAUCCUACAGAACUGUCAGAUGAUAAAUGUGUGUUGUUUAAGCUGCCAAGUUUGCGAUAAUUUGUUACAGCAGCAUAAGGGGACUAAUUCACAGAAUUCUCCUUUUUAUGUCCCCUGUGCUGCCUCUGUGACUGACCUCAGCUGCUUAGAACCCCCCUACAGUCCCGUACAAUGCCGUUCUGAGGAGUACACAUUUCUUGAGCAACCCUUCCAAGAAUAUGCGAUGUUACCAGCUCUCUGAUAUCUCUGGAGCUGUUUACUACAAGUCCAGGAUUUUCCUCCAUCAGCGGAUUCUUUAGGUUCUCUUAGGAAUGGGAGGCAGCUAGCAUUUGUGACAAUAGAAGUAUUGUGUAAUACUUGGCCUGCUUCUGUGGCUUACACAGCUCCCAACCGGGUCAGGGGUCUUACCAGAAGAUUGGACUAACAACGCUCAAGGCUGGGCUUCCAUUUCCCAAAUGACUCCAUCUCUUUAAGAAAACUGUCAAUAACAAUAAAAACAUUGGAGCAAAACGGAUUCUUGGAUGAAUCCACUGCCCUCCCAUAUCACCCGCUGGUAACAUCAGAGGCCCAUGUUCUAGAAAGACUUCCCUCCCCAUAGAGGACGCUGAAGUCUCCCACUGGGUGCUGGGCCAUGAGGCCAAGUUGGUUGCCUCCCCCUGGGGGCUGACUGUCUUCAGAGGCUCUGAGCGCCCGGGGAGCCAGCGCAGCCCUCCUUGGGCCUCCUUCCUUUACCAAACAAGGUUAGGACUUACAACUUC